rnacentral:miRNA from 1 species
UCUGAAACUCAAGAACACGUUG